AUGGACACCGGAUGCAAGCAGCACUCUAGCAUCCAGGGCAGCAGAAGGAACGCACACCGGCCUCUGGAGAGGUGGAUGCCCUUUAGCGACAGUUGGAGCCCACGCUUGGUGUCCCAAGACCUUAACAGCUGUCACAAUAAUUAUUAUCUUCACGCCAGAAAGGGCGGAGCAGCAAAGGCAAAGACCCGAGGUGUGGAGGGUGAGCAUCUGGUACAGCAGCUAAGACUCCACGUGGGACACCUACAUGGGAGUGUGCCUGGUUUGAGCCCUGGCUCCACUUCCCACUCCAGCUUCUUGCUGACUGAGAUCUGGGAGGCAGCAGGUGAUGGCUUACCUAGUUGGGUCCCUGCCACCCACAAGGGAGACUCGCACUGAGUUCUGAGCUCCUGGCUUCAGCCUGGCCCAGCCUCACCUAUUGAGAGCAUUAGGCAAGAGGACCAGAAGAUGGAAGAUCUCUGUGUAUCUCUCUCUGUCUUUCAAGUACAAUGAAAGUGAUUUUUUAAAAAAAUUUUUAAAGUAAGUAUAUUCCUUUUUCUAGUCUCUUGUUUUUUUCUUAUUAAUAUUACAUACAAAAUAGGUUGGAAAUAUUCCUGAGCAAAAAUAAUUUCAACCUGAGGCCUCCCAUGUACUUGACUUCCGUGACUUUAGUCCAUAGUCACAUGUUAAAUAAUGUCUCUAAAUUGCCUCCCUGUGUUGAACUUGGACCAUUUGUGUUUUAUCUAACAGAGGGAUAUUUGAGUUCAGCAAGGGGAACUACCUGUUAGGCCAUAGGUUGGUUUCAGAUGCUUUUCCAGCUUCCUGUGCCUCACAAUGUUUAGACAAUUAUUUGAACAGUUUAUUGCAUUUUGCCCUUAUGUCAUCAAAGGCGUAUAAAGGAGUAGGCAUUCAGCCUAGUGGUGAAAGUGUCCGUGUCCCAUACUGGAGUAUGUGGGUUUGGUUCCUUGAUCUGGAUUCUGACUCUAGGUUCCUGUCCAUGGGGUGCAAUGGUAAGGGCUCAAAUGACUGGGUUCCUGACAGCAAAGCGGGAGACUUGGAUUGAGUUUCCAACAUUUGGCUUUGGCCCCAGCCCAGACCCAGCCAUUGUUGGCAUUUGGGGAGUGAACCAGCAGAUGGGAGAGCUCUCCGUCUCUGUCUCCCUCCCUCUCUCAGAUAAAUGCAUUUUAAAGAAAUGUCUUACAAAGGCUAAAAUACAAAAGAACAGUGUUAAUAAUGGGACUUAGAAGCACUGGUCUCAUCAACUAACUACAACUGUGGCAGUCAGAAAGACGCAAACCAUCAGCUACCUGGCCACGUUUUAAAUGUAAACUGGUUAAUCCUUGUUCAGUUGUGAUGGGAAAAGGCAAACUUGAGAAGGAGUAAAAUGCUAGAACUGUAUUGUCAAAGAUUACAUCUACACAGUAUCUAAAACAUGCCACUAUUAUAUAUAUAUAAUUAUCUAUAUUAAAUGAUCAAAUCUUCCUUCUGACACAUAAUUCUAUUGUUCAAUGUUCACACAUUUGAUUUAAAUGCACAUUUUCACAAACUUGUACAUGAAAAGGGGACUCACUACCUCUCUUUAGCUUCCAAGUUUUCCAAUCUUGUGAUCUUAUGCAAACAGCUCAGUGUCUCCCUAACCCCAUCUGAUCCUUGUACUCCGAAACCUCCAAUGCUGCUGUGCCUCUCGCAGCUGACUGCAGCUCUCCCCCUCCAGCCCUUCUCACUAGUUGUACUCCCUUUGCUUCCUCCUAAAAUAUUAGCCACAUGUCUAGAUUAUUUUUCUUCUCAAAGUGCUCCUAAGUGCCAUUAAGCAAAGGGAUUAGAAAUGUCAUCCACAGAAAAAGAAGUCAGAAUUGGAAACAAAAAUAAUUCAUGUUGGCAAAUGCCCUCCAUCGCUUUGUAUUUGAUUACAUGUGGGUUAUUUCUUGCUCUGAGUCCUUAGGUCCUAGGAACUCAGAAUUCUUCCAUGUGGCAUGGUUUUGAGUAUCCUAUUGUAUGCAUCAAAUGUUACAUUAACAAAAUUUAGUGAAUAGUACACAUGGAAGACCCAGGUGCCAACCUAACAGUUGUCCUUAGUCUAUUAGUAAACAUAACAAAAUCUUGCUCAUUUUAGGCAGAGUAAUAGAAAAUCUAGUGUCCAUUUGUGAAAGGUCUGAAUUGGAGACGAUAUGUCAAAAGCCACAUCGCUGUGCCACUUUGAGAUACCUGUAGGAUCUUGGACACUAAGGGGAGCUUCCUGAGUAGAAGCCUCAGUUACAAACUUUAAUGGUCAAAUAACACUGUGGGUAGUUAGUAGGUUGUAUUUAUGUAUAAAGAGCAAAUGCACUUAUCUCCUUAAAACCGAUGUCUUCUUUUAAGAAGGCUAACAUCGUAACCACCACAACCACACCAUCAGAGCUCCCACUUAAGGGACUAAUUUGCUCUUUUGAUACAGCAGUCAGAGUUAUUCCUUCCAAGAAUGGUUUUCUUAGAGAUUUACAUUUUAAGUUAUUUUAAUCUCUAUCAUUAGAGUUACAAGCCUGACAAAUUUAGAAAGGGUUGGAAAGGGAUGCACUGAAUUAAAAUAGGAUGUGAUUUCAGCUGUGAAGGAUAGGGGCAGACAUCGUCCCAGGCUGCGGUAACCCUCAAUCUAUCACUGUGAAUUUAUCAUGAAUAAUUAGGCAGCUGUUUGUCAUAUCAUAAUGCGUAUGUAUGGGCCGUGGGGUUAGAAGAACAAAUCAGGAUUAUACUGAAAGUUUAUACCGAGAAUUUGUGGAUUUUGAAACAUUUACAUUCAGCACUUAAUUAAUGCCCUCUCUCCACUUCCCAAAUCUCAGGGCUAAAAUACAGGGAGAGUAAGUGCCAGGCAAAACCCACAAGAUUUAGAGUAAGACGACUUGUUUUUAUCUGGGACACACAGUACCAUGGGGUCUGGACAAGACAUGCAGCCUCUUUGAGGCUGGAACCAGGGUACAAAAUGAUAUCACCAACUCCAGAACAUUAUUUUGAGUAUUAAGAAAAUGCUUUGUAAACUGCUUAGUACCUUUCAAACACUAGCCUAAAAGUGCAAAAGUCAUUUAAUUUGCAAUUUAUUGCUUUAAAAUAGAAUGGCUCUUGUCUUGUCAUAGCAGAACACUUGCAAUCUUUUGAAAAGCGAAUAAUAAACUCUUGUACCCUGUUGUUGAUUUAUCA
ensembl:lncRNA